UCAUCAUUUCAUUUGAGAAGGUUGCUGAACGGCUUGAAAUGUUUUUACCCCAGAACAGCUGAAAUAUUGAGCCCAAACGUAAUGAAAUACUGAUAAAACAAACUCACUUCUGUUUGAAGCAUGUGGUCAGAAGGUUGCUGAUGAUGUCACUUCCUCAAACAUGAUGUAACAAAGAGCAAACCAUUGUUAUUAGAGGAGGAAAUGUUGAGGAACAAAAUAUCUUAAAUGUAAUUUUGACAUGAUAUUUUCAUUUCAAUUUGAAAUGCCAAAUAAAUUUUUUUUUAUUUUUUUUACAUUUUAGAAAACCAGUUAACAUGUUAGAUAUAAUUUAAUGCAGAUGCAAAUUGGCCGGCAUUCUAAAGCAAACAUUUAAAAGUGUUUUAAAGUGCAUUUUAACAUUCAUUUAUUGGUUUUCACCUGAAAAUGAACCGGUUUGAUGCAUAUUAUUUUCAUACUUGCAUAUUCACUUUUUCUUUUACAGAAUUACAGUAUAAGUUGAUUAUGGAACAUGGAAAUACUCCUAAAAAGUGCAUAUGGUCCAACAGUAAUUCCUCAAAAUCCAGCAGUGAUGGUUCAGCCGAGAAGAAUUCCCAGUGUGGAUUCAUCAGCUCAGAGGAGGCCUGCGAGGCGGGAGGAGGAGGCGCAGUCACGUCUCUGCUGCCUCUCAGGAUCACCUGCAGCCCGUCCCAGCAGCCCCGCACCCCGACACUGAAAGAGUGUGAGCUCAUCAUCCAGCAGCUCUAUCACGCCAACACUGCACAGAAUCAGGAGCUGCUGCGGAUCAAGACGGUCCUCAGAGAAAUCACUUCCAGAAACAGAUCAGCUGCUGAAGUUUUCUCUCGUGCAAGAGCCUCGCUCUGUGACAACAGCAGGGGUGACGUUUUCGAGCAUUUUCCGAAACUACCUCUCAAACCACUCCCAAAGAAACAGAUCCUGAAGGUUAAAGGAGAACCCGUGCUCCUCCCGGCCAUCAAGCACAGUCUCGGCAGCAGCAUGUCCGAGUGGCAGAGGAGAGCGCAGGACGAGCACAGACUGCGUUUCAGGAGAGCGGUGAACUCUUAACCCUCCUCUGCAGUGCUUCUGUCAUUGUGCCUUCCUGUUUGCUGAUUAGAAGAGACGGGAGGAAUUUAGCGAACGGCUGUUGAUCACGUUUGAUUCCCUAAUGAACUAAAUAAGAAUCUUUCCAGAGAAGCAGCCAAAUGUCAAAGACGAGACGAGAGCUAAGCUGCCCAUCCUCCAACAGGAAGAUCCGUAAACUCUGAGACAGACACAAUAUAUACAACCAAAUCUCUUAGAAAACCUUGAUUUGAUGUGAAUUUCCCUGAAGGUUCCAAAAGGCUGAUUUGAGCUUGACAAUGCAGUCUAAAUUCUGCUUUAACUCUCUUUAAAUAAAUGCACCAGCAACAUUUUAUAACA
ensembl:lncRNA